rnacentral:rRNA from 1 species
GCUGUACUCCUCAAAUUUGCCUUGCAUUUUCACUGGGGACUUCAACCUUAUUGCCGAGGCCACUGACAAGAACAACAACAACUUGAACAGAAGAACAAUGGCUGCAUUCAGAAGAUUUAUCAACGAACUUGAGCUGCGAGAGAUGUACUUGCAUGGAAGAAAAUACACUUGGACCAACGAGCAGCAGAACGCAACAAAGGUCAAAUUGGACAGGGUUCUCUUCAAUGACCCGUGGAUGUUGGCAUAUCCUUGCUGCAUCCUUGCCGCUCUUGCUACGGAUCUUUCCGAUCACUGCCCCUUGCUACUUUCAACUGAUGCAACCUUUCAGCCACCGAGACACUUCCGAUUUGAUAAUUACUGGACUACUUUUGGGGGCUUCUCCCAGGUGGUCCUCGAUUGCUGGUCGCAGCCC